UUGCAUACUUGAAGACCUAAACUUGCAAACUUGAAGAAUUUGAAGACUUCAACUUGCAAACUUGAUUGAUUUGAAGACCUCAACU
rnacentral:pre_miRNA from 1 species